rnacentral:lncRNA from 1 species
UCACAUACUUAGAGAUAUGUGGGAGAGGUUUCACAUACUUAGAGAUAUGUGGGAGAGGUUUCACAUACUUAGAGAUAUGUGGGAGAGAUUUCACAUACUUAGAGAUAUGUGGGAGAGGUUUCACAUACUUAGAGAUAUGUGGGAGAGAUUUCACAUACUUAGAGAUAUGUGGGAGAGGUUUCACAUACUUAGAGAUAUGUGGGAGAGGUUUCACAUACUUAGAGAUAUGUGGGAGAGAUUUCACAUACUUAGAGAUAUGUGGGAGAGAUUUCACAUACUUAGAGAUAUGUGGGAGAGAUUUCACAUACUUAGAGAUAUGUGGGAGAGGUU